AGAAUGAACGUUGGCGGCGUGGAUUAGGCAUGCAAGUCGUACGGGCCGCAAGGCCAGUGGCGCAAGGGUGAGUAAGGCGACGGUAACCAACCCCAUGACUGGGUAUAGCCGCGGGAAACUGCGGGUAAUCCCCAGCGACGUCCCGGGAGGGCAUCUUCCUGGGACCAAAGCUCCGGCGUCGUGGGACGGGCCGUCGUGGUAUUAGGUUGUUGGCGGGGUAAUGGCCCACCAAGCCUGCGAUGCCUACCGGGCGUGCGAGCGUGGCCCGGCACACUGGGACUGAGACACUGCCCAGACUCCUACGGGAGGCUGCAGUCGAGGAUCUUCGGCAAUGGGCGCAAGCCUGACCGAGCGACGCCGCGUGCGCGAUGAAGGCCUUCGGGUUGUAAAGCGCUGUCGAGGGGGAGGAAGCCCGUAAGGGUCUGACCUAUCCCUGGAGGAAGCACGGGCUAAGUUCGUGCCAGCAGCCGC
rnacentral:rRNA from 1 species